CAGUCGCCGCGGGAAAACGAAGGGGGCUAGCGUUGCUCGGAAUGACUGGGCGUAAAGGGCGCGUAGGCGGCGGCCAAAGUCAGGCGUGAAAUUCCCGGGCUCAACCUGGGGGCUGCGUUUGAUACUUGGUUGCUUGAGUGGGGAAGAGGGUCGUGGAAUUCCCAGUGUAGAGGUGAAAUUCGUAGAUAUUCGGAAGAACACCAGUGGCGAAGGCGGCUCACUGGCUCAUUCUAGACGCUGAGGUGCGAAAGCGUGGGGAGCAAACAGGAUUAGAUACCCCGGUAGUCCCUGUCUCUUAUAC
rnacentral:rRNA from 1 species